rnacentral:rRNA from 1 species
GUUGAACGCUAGCUACAGGCUUAACACAUGCAAGUCGAGGGACCGGCGCACGGGUGAGUAACACGUAUCUAACCUGCCCUUUACUCGGGGCUAGCCUUUCGAAAGAAAGAUUAAUACCCGAUAUAAAGGAUGGGGAUGCGUUCCAUUAGGUUGUUGGUGAGGUAACGGCGAACCAAGACUUCGAUGGUUAGGGGUUCUUAGAGGAAGGGCCCCCACAUUGGAACUGAGACCCGGUCCAAACUCCUACGGGAGGCAGCAGUGAGGAAUAUUGUUUAAUGGGUGCUAGCCUGACCCCGCCAAUUGGCGUGAAGGAUGAAGGCUUAUGGGUCGUAAAUUUCUUUUAUAUAAGAAUCUGUAUUAUAUGAAUAAGGAUCGGCUAACUCCGUGCCAGCAGCCGCGGUAAUUC